rnacentral:lncRNA from 1 species
GAUGGGUGAUCUCUUACAUCCGGGAGGAGCCUAGUGAAGCCAAAGCGGGGCUGUGAGGCUGCAAGACAUUGCCCAGGUGGCUCCAGUUGCAAGAUCCGGGCCUAGUUUGAGAUUGUAUUCAGGGUAGAAAAUCAUUACCAAUCAGCUGUUCAGAGAGUUUGUGAACAAUGUCAGGAGAGAACUAUUGGAUGGAGAUUUGUUUGACUCUGGAGAAGCUAUUCCAAACAAGGCAUAUCCCCUAAAGAUCCGUAAAGGUGACAAAGUGGUGUUUGAACAACACAGAUAAGUUCCCAAGAAAGAGCACAGGAACAGCAUCCAACUUGGCCACCACUAGAAAGGAAGGAAACUAUUCUGAGCGCUGCAUCUCACAAAGGAACCAUUCUGAAAAAUGUAGAAAAACCUCUGCUAGUGAAACCAUCUGGGAGAUGUUUCUUCCACAGUGAAGAAGAUCAAGUCAUGACCCCUACACUGAAGCUGGAAAUAUCAUUAGAAGUUAAUCUGCCAGUCCCGUUUAUGGAGCUUGAUUCAUCUCAGGAACCCUUGGUGCAUGUGGCAGCUGUUGAGUUCAUCUCAAUGGCAAUGCUGAUCAAAGAGCCUUUUGACUCAAGAAAGAACAGUUAGUUAGGUAUAUGUGCCAGGUGUAACUGUGCACUCUUUGAACUUGCAGACUGAUAUAGGCUCCAUGUCAUGUAAUGGCAGCUGUAAAUGAACCCAGCUUGCUGAAGUGAUGGCAGAAGGUUUGCUGAGCAGCAUAUCUAUCAUGGCAGCACCUAGUAAAAAUUUAGAGUUCUCCAUCCGAGGCCUUUUCAAGGCAAUUAUACCAAUAGGUCAAGGUGAUACUAGAGGUGUAAACAAAUGUUAUGUCAGCUUCCAAUGAUCUCACAGAGAUAUUUGCCCUAACAAUUGAAGUGCGCUAUCACUGAGGAUGUUGCUGAUGUACCAGUAUCGCCAUUGCCUAUAGACAGGAGCACAAUCCAGUGGAUGCUGAUUAAUCUGCAAGGUAUGGAUUAGUGACUACUAGCCCCAGUGGUGCAAACACUGGAGACUACAACCUGACAAAUAUUUCAUGGAAUCCCCUCAGUGUAGUUUGCAAGCAGCACCUCUGAUACCAAAGAAAUUCUUAACCACCAUUUUGUGUCUCUGGCUUCUCUCUUGAAUAAGCAGGAGUCACUUCACCAACUGAAAGCUGCAGGUCAUUUGCCAAUGGAUGAUAUAGGUCACAUGAUCAGAGCGGAGAAAUCUCUGGGCUGAACAUGCCCAACAGUGAAAAUAACAUAAAAUAAGGUAUGGCCAUGAAAGGGUCCAAAUCUGGAGUAUGAGCUGUAGGGACAGACAAAGGAAUCAUGGCUCUGAGGUCAACAACGGCAAUGAGCAUGUACAUGGAUACCAGUAGGUAGCUACUGAGCAUAUGCAGUAUGGGGUGAGAGAAAGAUCAGCUAGCUGACUUGCUGGCUGGCCACAGCUCAUCCAUACUGGUUACAACUUGUUCUAAAGGUCAGAGUGGUCAGUCAUAAUUCUGAGGUAAUGGCUGUUACUGAGCAUGUGUGAAUGAGGUAAUUGCUUAAGGGUAUAUAAGGAAGUCCCAAUAGGACAGUAUAAAGGUCAGCUGCCAACAGGCAGAAGUCAGUCAAGAGCCAGAAAAAGAGCUGCUGGAAGAACUGCUGGGGAGAGAUCGGAAGGCUGGCUAAGAGGACAGAAGAGCUCCGAAGAGUUCUCAGAAAGACUCCGAAGAAAGUGCUGCUGAAGAAAGCAGCUACAGCAGCUUCAGACAAAGUAAUAUCCACAGCAGCCACAACAGUUGCAACAAUUGAAACAAAAGGAUAGAGCAAGAGAAACUGCCAGAAGUGAGCUGCCACAGUAACAGCAAACAGAGAAAGGGAGCAGACUGGGAACGAAAAGCUACCGUAGCAGCAGCAAACCGCAACAUUUGUAAAAAGUCCCUGAAUCAAUGGAUAGCAUGAGCGUGUCAGUUUUUAAACUAUACGUUUACUGUCUACUAUUGUAUAGUACAAUAGAUAUGUGUAUGUCUGAAAUGUGUGUAUUUUAAUUGUAUUUUACCUAUGAAGAAUUUAAAGUACAAGUUAAGAAUUGCUGUCGGUGCUUUACAGGUUGGCCACCUGUAGCAAAGCGCAUUGCUUAGAAUAAUUUAAACUGAACACUAUUGUGGUUUGGAUCUCUUUAACUUGCAGUAAGGGAUUGUGUCUGAUUUUUACUUUUUAUUUUUAUUAUACUAGGGAUUAUUAGUUACAUUAAUAAAAUUAUUUUGUUUUGGAAAAAACA